rnacentral:rRNA from 1 species
UCAAAGGAAUUGACGGGGCCCCGCACAAGCAGCGGAGCAUGCGGCUUAAUUCGACGCAACGCGAAGAACCUUACCAAGGCUUGACAUAUACCGAAAAGCAGCAGAGAUGUUGUGUCCGCAAGGCCGGUAUACAGGUGGUGCAUGGUUGUCGUCAGCUCGUGUCGUGAGAUGUUGGGUUAAGUCCCGCAACGAGCGCAACCCUCGUUCUGUGUUGCCAGCAUUUAGUUGGGGACUCACAGGAGACUGCCGUGGUCAACACGGAGGAAGGUGGGGAUGACGUCAAAUCAUCAUGCCCCUUAUGUCUUGGGCUGCACGCAUGCUACAAUGGCAGGUACAAAGGGCUGCGAUACCGUAAGGUGGAGCGAAUCCCAAAAAGUCUGUCUCAGUUCGGAUUGAGGUCUGCAACUCGACCUCAUGAAGUCGGAGUUGCUAGUAAUCGUAGAUCAGCAACGCUACGGUGAAUACGUUCCCGGGGCUUGUACACACCGCCCGUCACGUCACGAAAUCGGUAACACCCAAAGUCAGUGGCCCAACCGCAAGGAG